UUGAUCACCCUGAGGCUGCCUUCCCCACCCUUCAAGUCAAAGCUAGGGGUGCGCUAGUCCUGAGCAUGCUCCAAGUUUUUGUGUGUCUUCGUGUUGUUAUUGCUGAAUUUAGUACCCAGGACCCUAGUUAUGACUGAGUCAUGCCACAAAAAGAAGAUUACAGAGGAUAAAAUGGAGAGCCUGAAUAGUGCAACUCAGAUGUUUGUCAAGUUUUGCUGUAACUUCACAAAAUAACCA